UGGGGAAUAUUGGACAAUGGGCGCAAGCCUGAUCCAGCCAUACCGCGUGGGUGAAGAAGGCCUUCGGGUUGUAAAGCCCUUUUGUUGGGAAAGAAAAGCAGCCGGUUAAUACCCGGUUGUUCUGACGGUACCCAAAGAAUAAGCACCGGCUAACUUCGUGCCAGCAGCCGCGGUAAUACGAAGGGUGCAAGCGUUACUCGGAAUUACUGGGCGUAAAGCGUGCGUAGGUGGUUGUUUAAGUCUGUCGUGAAAGCCCUGGGCUCAACCUGGGAAUGGCGAUGGAAACUGGGCGACUAGAGUGUGGCAGAGGGUAGUGGAAUUCCUGGUGUAGCAGUGAAAUGCGUAGAGAUCAGGAGGAACAUCCGUGGCGAAGGCGACUGCCUGGGCCAACACUGACACUGAGGCACGAAAGCGUGGGGAGCAAACAGGAUUAGAUACCCUGGUAGUCCACGCCCUAAACGAUGCGAACUGGAUGUUGGGUGCAAUUUGGCACGCAGUAUCGAAGCUAACGCGUUAAGUUCGCCGCCUGGGGAGUACGGUCGCAAGACUG
rnacentral:rRNA from 1 species